rnacentral:tRNA from 1 species
ACUUGGCUGGCUCAGUUGGUAGAGCAUCCAACUCUUAAUCUCAGGGUUGUGAGUUUGAGCCUCAUGUUGGGUA